rnacentral:miRNA from 1 species
UAAGGUGACCCGUUAUUCUGGUUUGCCUGGGACGGAGGCAGCGCUGAGUUCUAAAACCUGGGAAGUCCUUGACAAACCAGGCUGAGUUG